CCUACGGGUGGCAGCAGUGGGGAAUAUUGGACAAUGGGCGCAAGCCUGAUCCAGCAAUGCCGCGUGGGUGAAGAGGGUCUUCGGAUCGUAAAGCCCUUUCGACAGGGACGAUGAUGACGGUACCUGUAGAAGAAGCCCCGGCUAACUUCGUGCCAGCAGCCGCGGUAAUACGAAGGGGGCUAGCGUUGCUCGGAAUUACUGGGCGUAAAGGGCGCGUAGGCGGCUUAGUCAGUCAGGCGUGAAAUUCCUGGGCUUAACCUGGGGGCUGCGUUUGAGACGGCUGAGCUAGAGGGUAGGAGAGGGUCGUGGAAUUCCCAGUGUAGAGGUGAAAUUCGUAGAUAUUGGGAAGAACACCGGUGGCGAAGGCGGCGACCUGGCCUAUUACUGACGCUGAGGCGCGACAGCGUGGGGAGCAAACAGGAUUA
rnacentral:rRNA from 1 species